GGCCUCAAGUGAUGGAGACAUGCCCUGGGAGGCUCAUGACCAGAUUGGGAUGUAUUCGUACUGUCUGAUGGGGCC